CAGAGUCCAGCUAGCUCGCGUGUGGUGCAGGUGGUAUGCGGCUGGAGUCCAUGCCUGUUCGUCAAAUUCCUUCAUGCUUUGAAGCCAGUGUUUACAGGCCUCAUUUCUGUUAGGACACCAGGCUUGAAGGCUAGAUGCUGCCCCAGCUCUAUGAUGAGAUAUGACACGCAACACGCCUCAGUUUGUCAAUGCCUAGCCAUGCACUCUCCAAGCCAGUCUCCAGGACCUACUCCACCGGCAGAACCUUCAUCCACACUGCAGUCCAUGUCUGGAACAGUCUCCCAGAUUGUGAAGUGGGAGAGAUGAAAGACAGUGGUGCUCCUUCAAACGUAGGGUGCAUCAACAUCUCCUGUCAACACAUUGAUUUGCUGCAUGCAAGUCCCUACAUCUAUCCAGUUCCUGUUCUGAUGAAGCAGCUUUCCCAGCCCAUAACUCUGUUCAGGUUUGGUGCAUGUAACUCAGCCCUAUCCCCUGUUUCCUUGCUUCAAGGCAGGUAAGUCUUGUUUGGAACUUGUAGUAGAUGGUGAUCUUUCAACUGAAAAUUUACAAGCUUGCCCACAGUCAUAGGAAAAUAACACAUCAUUAUUCGGUAAGACUUAGUUCUCCCGUGGUCUUACAUGUACCAAUAAUGAGCAUUCAACCCCCUCCCCCUCAAAAAAAAAAGUAUUUGUCAUAAAAUUGUAAUACUUUUGCAAAUA